GCCUGGAAUGGUUUAUGGUUAAAAUGAUUCGUCGCCAUAGGAUGGGACUGCGGCCUAUCAGCUUGUUGGUGAGGUAAUGGCCUACCAAGGCGAUUACAGGUACGGGCUCUGAGAGGAGAAGCCCGGAGAUGGGUACUGAGACAAGGACCCAGGCCCUAUGGGGCGCAGCAGGCGAGAAAACUUUGCAAUGUGCGAAAGCACGACAAGGUUAGUCCGAGUGAUUUCUGCUAAAGAGAUCUUUUGUCAGUUAUAAAACCACUAAUGAAUAAGGGGUGGGCAAGUUCUGGUGU
rnacentral:rRNA from 1 species